AUUUUGCUCUGUAUUUAAUGUAGUGAAUGGGGAGUCAACAUUACCAUUGAACAAAACUUCUGAAACGGUACAAUGAAGCCAACAGAAAGCAGUCAUCUGUUAAUGGUUACUAUCCACUAGAUACAUCUGAGGUUGUAGGAUAUCAGGCUUUUACAGACAUCUGAGCAGACAUUGUGGGCACAGAACAUAAAUCUCACACAAGGCAUAAUUGAAAGUUAUUUCAAACAAAUUAUCAGUAAACUCCAGCGACAUUAACUUCAUGAAGUAAUAUGUUUUAGCAACAAACAGUGAUGGUAUGCAGGUGUAGGCCUGUCAUCCUAAACAUGGUGCACUAUAGUAUAUUGAGGUCAAAGCCUUUCUGUAGAAAGGGAAUUUAAUUGACAUUCUUUCAAGCAUAGUAUAUAAACAGAUCAAAAUAGUUCUAUUAUAAGAAAUAGUAUUUAACAACAUAUCUCUAAAAUAAAAAUACUUUAAAAAUCAGCUUCGAUGAGAUUAAAUUUAAAGAAUCUUCCUUUAGAGUGAAAUAUAUUCUCUUGCUUUCUGCUUCUGUUUUCCAGCAUAAUUCCCACCCUUACCCAUCUCAGUUAAUAAAGUAGUGCAAAAAACAUCGUGCAGCAGCUUCUCCCAUGUUUGGUCCCCUACCACGUCAGAGAAUUAAGACAUUCCCACUCACCAAAUCAGAAGUAUGUUCCCUCGAUACGCCAGGGCCUUAGGUACAAAAGCUGCUGUCAGGCUUGGGGAGUGCCGUUUCUAAGUACAGAUUUUAUGGUAAUUUGUGAAACAUUUUUAAAGGCAACCCCCAUACACAGUUUAUUUUACAAAACAGGUUUUCAUGCAUUCAUAUUAUCAAGAAUGUUUUUCAUAAAUGAAUGUAAUGAAACACUGCGUAUCACUUAACACACCGCAUUCUCCUCUACAUGAAAUUCACACUAACAACAAAAUUCAUGGUAGGUAAUUAAAGCGCUUCAGUAACCUAAUGAGAAAGCAGGUUUUUUUUUUUUCUUUGAGAACAUGUGAGUAUGAAAUAUUUUUAGAUGCACAAAGGUAUAAUUUGACUUCAGAAGCAAUGUGUAUUUCUUUUACUAGGCUUUUUUAAUAACUGAAUUGAGUUGCUAAUUUGCUAAUUCAGUACAAAUUAAAGUAGUGGUACAUAUAAAAAUUCAGAUAGGCAAUCAUUUAUAAACCUGGCAGUAUUUAUGUUAUGUAGUCCUGCAGAGAGUUUAAGGUUUUGGAUGGAAUGGUAGAAGGUUUGUAAGCUUUCUGUACAGUAUCUGAGAUUCUCUUGAAGGAAUAGAAGUACCUGUACACACUUGUUUAAAGCUGGCCUACUCGUACCUAAUUAAUUUGCACAGGAGUGAGUUUGGGGGUUUAUGUUAAAGUGAAAUGCAUUCUCUCCAUUAUUCAGGCUUUGGGUUUUUUUUUCCCCUUUUGAAAUGUAUAAAACAUAGAAAACUGUAAUGGAUUACUUUUCAGGUAAAAAAUAGUCACAUUCU